GCCUGGGUGGCUGAGUUGGUUAAGUGCCUGACUUCUGCUCAUGGUUCGUGAGUUCGAGCCUCACCUCAGGCU